rnacentral:rRNA from 1 species
UACGAACUGUGCGACCGUUAUUCGGAAUCACUGGGCUUACAGGGUGCGUAGGCGGCUUGUUAAGUAGGGUGUGAAAGCCCCCGGCUCAACCGGGGAAUGGCGCCCUAAACUGGCGAGCUAGAGUGAGAUAGGGGUGUGUGGAACUUCCGGUGGAGCGGUGAAAUGUGUUGAUAUCGGAAGGAACGCCGGUGGCGAAAGCGACACACUGGAUCUUGUCUGACGCUGAGGCACGAAAGCCAGGGGAGCGAACGGG